rnacentral:rRNA from 1 species
AGCAGCCGCGGUAAUUCCAGCUCCAAUAGCGUAUAUUAAAGUUGUUGCAGUUAAAAAGCUCGUAGUUGAAUUUCGGGGUUAGUAGGUUGGUCAUGCCUCUGGUAUGUACUGGUCUCACUGAUUCCUCCUUCCUGAUGAACCUUAAUGCCAUUUAUUUGGUGUUUUGGGGAAUUUGGACUGUUACUUUGACAAAAUUAGAGUGUUUAAAGCAAGCUAACGCUUGAAUACAUUAGCAUGGAAUAAUGAAAUAGGACGUUCGAUCCUAUCUUGUUGGUUUCUAGGAUUGACGUAAUGAUUAAUAGGGAUAGUUGGGGGCAUUAGUAUUCAAUUGUCAGAGGUGAAAUUCUUGGAUUUAUUGAAGACUAACUACUGCGAAAGCAUUUGCCAAGGAUGUUUUCAUUAAUCAAGAACGAAAGUUAGGGGAUCGAAGACGAUCAGAUACCGUCGUAGUCUUAACCAUAAACUAUGCCGACUAGGGAUCGGAUGAUGUUAAUUUUUUAAUGACUCA